UACGAAGGGGGCUAGCGUUGUUCGGAUUUACUGGGCGUAAAACGCACGUAGGCGGACUUUUAAGUCAGGGGUGAAAUCCCAGAGCUCAACUCUGGAACUGCCUUUGAUACUGGAAGUCUUGAGUAUGGAAGAGGUUGGUGGAACUGCGAGUGUAGAGGUGAAAUUCGUAGAUAUUCGCAAGAACACCAGUGGCGAAAGCGGCUCUCUGGCCCGGAUCUGACGCUGAGGCGCGAAAGCGUGGGGAGCAAACAGG
rnacentral:rRNA from 1 species